rnacentral:rRNA from 1 species
UACAGAGGGGGCGAGCGUUAUUCGGAAUUAUUGGGCGUAAAGAGUGCGUAGGCGGUUUUCUAAGUUUGGUGUGAAAUCUCCCGGCUCAACUGGGAGGGUGCGCCGAAGACUGGAAGGCUUGAGUAUGGGAGAGGUAAGCGGAAUUCCUGGUGUAGCGGUGAAAUGCGUAGAUAUCAGGAGGAACACCUGCGGUGUAGACGGCUUACUGGACCAUAACUGACGCUGAGGCACGAAAGCGUGGGUAGCAAACAGG